CUGACCACCAGGCAGGAGAGAACAAUGUAUUCUGGGGAUGCAGGAUUUCCUCCUUUGGACCCACUUCCAAUAGAAAUCCCCACACACAUCGUAUCUUCCAUCUGUCUGCUGAAACACAAAGAUAAAUGUCUUGACAAGAGAGCAAGGGAGAGGUUUUGACAACACCAAAGAUGCUUGAAAGCAGAGAAUCUUGUAGGGCUUAAGAAAGAAAGACUUUCAUCUCUCAGAUUCAUUUCUCCGGGGAGCAUUAACUGCCCCCAGACGAGUCACCACAAUGCAGCAACCGGUAAAACUAUUUUCCCUGUCUCCAAGGCAUCCCUGAAGCACCAAGAGGCCAAUUCCUCUCGGGGAGACAUGCAAGUUACAAAAUGCAGGGCAGGGAGGAAGCAGCAAGCAGUCAAUUCGCCUGGAAAGAGCUGUGUGAGAAUCAUAGGUGUAAUUUACUAGCUUUCAGUUGCCGCUUCAGAGGGGCAAAGUCCGAAUACUUCUUAGGUAUCGAAGUUGUGCUCCCCGUGGCGUGGCCCUAAAACAUUUCCGUUGUAUUAUCAGGUUCUGUGCUGGGUCCACCGAUUGCCUAAUUACUCUUGCGGGGCUCCUUCUGCUCUCUCCCUUCCGUUUGCUGCAGCCAGGAAUUAUAACCCUGAUUGUUCCAGACUGUUUCUCGGACAUUCACGUGUUUCCCUUAACUGGAGAAGACACCGCGGUGCAGUCGCCUCCCUUCUGGGACUGGAAGAUGAGAUAUUUUAGGGAUGAGUGA
rnacentral:lncRNA from 1 species